AUGGCAGAGCAGGGGAAGAAGACGGGGGAGCAGGACAAGAAGAGGCCGCGGCUCUCCGACAAGGCCGAGGGCAGCGGCGCCAAGAAGUCCAGUGUCGUCGCGGUGACCACGGUGUCACCGGCGGAGCUCACGGUGCCGAGUCCGGUGGCCCCAAGGAGGGCGGCGCUGUCCUCGCCCAGCCCCGUUGCAAAGGUGAAGCCGGUCACCACGGUGGGGCUGACCAGUCCUGUCGCCGUCAUGCCACCGGCGCUGCCGGUGCCGAGUCCGGUGGCCACGAAGACGCGGACACUGGCCGAGCUCAAUCCGGUUCCCAUCACGAAGUCAGCCGCCACGGUGGCGGUGACCAGUCCAGUGGCCGCCACGCCACCGGCGCCCAGUCCAUCGGCAACGAGGGUGCUCGCGGGACAGAGUCCGGUGGCCACGAAGACGCCGACACCCAGUCAAGUGGCCACCGCGAAGCCGGCUGCCGUGGUGAAGCGGGAUGAAGAAGGCGCGGAACACAAUGGUGGCGCAAUGGUGGCCCUCGCGGCGGAAGAGGAUGAGCCUGCCAACUUGGACUUGCCGAAGAAAUUGUUUCACUGCGCCGCCUGUCGUGCCCCCCUCAAGCCUCCGGUGUUCAAGGGACGCCUCCUACAUUCGAAUUAG
rnacentral:rRNA from 1 species